GAUGAACGCUAGCGGGAGGCCUAACACAUGCAAGCCGAGCGGUAGAGAUUCUUCGGAAUCUUGAGAGCGGCGUACGGGUGCGGAACACGUGUGCAACCUACCUUUAUCAGGGGGAUAGCCUAUCGAAAGGAAGAUUAAUACCCCAUAAUAUAUUUGAUGGCAUCAUUAGAUAUUGAAAACUCCGGUGGAUAGAGAUGGGC
rnacentral:rRNA from 1 species